UACCAGCACCCCGAGUGGUCGGGACGUUUUAUUGGGCCUAAGACAUCCGUAGCCGGUUCUACAAGUCUUCCGUUAAAUCCAACUGCUUAACAGGUGGGCUGCGAAAGAUACUAUAGAGCUAGGAGGCGGGAGAGGCAAGCGGUACUCGAUGGGUAGGGGUAAAAUCCGUUGAUCCAUUGAAGACCACCAGUGGCGAAGGCGGCUUGCCAGAACGCGCUCGACGGUGAGGGAUGAAAGCUGGGGGAGCAAACCGG
rnacentral:rRNA from 1 species